rnacentral:rRNA from 1 species
UACGUAGGUGGCAAGCGUUGUCCGGAUUUAUUGGGUUUAAAGGGUGCGUAGGCGGCCCCCUAAGUCAGUGGUGAAAGACGGCAGCUCAACUGUCGAGGUGCCAUUGAUACUGGGGGGCUUGAGUACCGAUGGGGCAAGCGGAAUUGACGGUGUAGCGGUGAAAUGCUUAGAUAUCGUCAAGAACACCGAUAGCGAAGGCAGCUUGCUAAGGGGUAACUGACGCUGAGGCACGAAAGUGCGGGGAUCAAACAGG